AGCAACCAAUGUAAAGUAGAAAUAGAUCUUCUAGUUUCUACUAGAUUGAGAGAGAUAGAGUGGAGGUGUGGAUCGGAGGAAGGCCGGCCUGUCGGUGUCUACUCCGAGUUGUACCUACGGGAUCAAGUCUCCUAACCCGAGGCUUGCUUCUAAGAUUCUUCAGUAAUUCGACUUCUAAUACUAGUAAGUUCUUGUUUUAUUGUUCUUUGGUUUAUGAGUUUACUUUAAUCCCCUU
rnacentral:lncRNA from 1 species